rnacentral:rRNA from 1 species
AUUGAACGCUGGCGGCAUGCUUUACACAUGCAAGUCGAACGGUAACAGGCCGCAAGGUGCUGACGAGUGGCGAACGGGUGAGUAAUGCAUCGGAACGUGCCCAGUCGUGGGGGCUAACGCGGCGAAAGCUGCGCUAAUACCGCAUACGAUCUAUGGACGAAAGCGGGGGACCGUAAGGCCUCGCGCGAUUGGACCGGCCGAUGGCAGAUUAGGUAGUUGGUGGGGUAAAGGCGCACCAAGCCAACGAUCUGUAGCUGGUCUGAGAGGACGACCAGCCACACAGGGACUGAGACACGGCCCAGACUCCUACGGGAGGCAGCAGUGGGGAAUUUUGGACAAUGGGCGCAAGCCUGAUCCAGCAAUGCCGCGUGCAGGAAGAAGGCCUUCGGGUUGUAAACUGCUUUUGUACGGAACGAAACGGUCCUGGUUAAUACCUGGGGCUAAUGACGGUACCGUAAGAAUAAGCACCGGCUAACUACGUGCCAGCAGCCGCCGUAAUAC